UGAAGGUUGGCUAGGCACGGGUCAGGUGACUCCAGGGCGUCAUGACACAUCAGCUGAGAAUCUGUAAUGGACCAACACCCGAGAGGAAUCACAGCUGGCAGGUCCCUCUCACUUGGCAGCCUAGCAGUCAAUAAAGGCUGUUGAUCUGGAAACGUCAAGAGGGCAACUGUAACAAGGUCUGAACUUCAGUGUCUCACUGCGAUGCCUCCACUGAAGCCAGGAGCACAGGAAGGCACAUCACACCCUUGAAUGCACUCUGAAGAAAGCGUGCUUGAAGCUGGAGAUGUAGGUUAUCUGACAGGGUGCUUGCCUAGCUUGUCCGAAGCUCCAGGUUCAAGCUCCCCAGCCAUAGAAACUGGGUAUAAUAGCACCCACCUGGAAUCUCAACACUCAAGAGGUGGAGAUAAAAGUUCAGCAGCUCAAGAACAUCCUCAUUUACAUAGCAAAUUCAAGGCCAGCCUGGGCUACAUGAUGCCAUGUCUAAAAAAGAAAGUGUACUCAGAAGAAAGCAAGAGCUAGAAAGGGGCACUUACUCAGCAGGAAGACACCACGUCCUAGGGAAAAAAUGGAAGUCCUUAGGAAACAGCUUUAGCAUCCGGCUCAUAUUCCGGGCCAGCAAGUCUUUGCGGCAGAUCUCACUCAUCCCAGGAAAAUGAUUGAUUUUCUGCAAAGGAAACCAGAAUUCAUGAGCAAUUCUGGCUGAGUGGAAGCAGGGCUAUGGGAGUGUACCAUGAGCUCCCUUGAAGAGCCAGCAAUCCACAUGGGGCCGGCGUUGGGAGACGCCACCCAUCCAGGGAGGGACACACCUGGUAACUCUUCAUUUCCAUCACUCGCUCCAGCGACACUGAGAAGUCCGUCCAGUAGAGAGUCCAGUCAUCAUUGUCUCCCGCCUCUCGAAGGCCAUACUGCUGGGCCGCCCUGCGCACUGUGAAGGAGAUGAAGAAAGUCCGUGAAGCACAGAAGCAGGAACGCGCUCCUGUGGGGAGGUCUCUUUCCUACGCAUCCCAGACCAAGUAUUGCUACAGGAGAGCUGGCUCCUUGGGACCGGAAGCCACCUCGCCUUGUGGACAGGGCAAAGGAAGAGUAGAGAAUGGAAUUGUUGUUGAAGGAUACAUCCUGGCUAUAUGGGAUGAAUGUUAGGACUGACCUGUCUUCCCUUUCCCAGGGAGCAGGCUUGCCUCCAGACACUAAGCUCUGCAUGUGAACCAAUCCUUAACUAUAACCUAGAGCCAGGUUUAAUCAGUGAGGUAAAUUGGUGGGGGGAAAUAACAUUUGACACAAUGAGUCUAGCCUGAGCUACUUAGUAAAACCCUACCACAAAUACAUGCACAAAUAAAUAAGUCUAAGGGUGGUGAUCACCACUGUGGCCCCGGCCGUGACCUUUAGAGUGAGAUUAUCAGUUUCCUCUAACGGUUUACGGAGCCAGGAGAACCAAGGAUCUGGAGAGCCUGUUUCUCACCCUGGGGCACACACAGGAGGGAUCUAUUCCCACCCUUCCAUCUCCAUCACAGGUCCCUUGACCACAGAUGCUCACUCACCACUGUCGUAGCGGCAGUUGGAUAGAUUAAUCACCAAUCAUCUGGAAAAGAAAAAGGCAGACAGCAAGACAGAGACAGAUACCCUGACCAGAACACAGGGCUGGGACCAGACACGCAUGCCCCAGCUGCCACACUAAGCCUGCAGGGCCUGCCCAUCCCAUCACUACGAAUGAGGUUGCAAAGGGGUGUAGGACCAUGGGCUUGUAGGCCUGUCAUUAUUUAUAUAGUCUGUUAUUAUUUGUACAUACUUAUACAUUCUGUUAUAUAUUUACUACAAUCAGGGUAAAUUUU